rnacentral:tRNA from 1 species
GAAAAUGUGCCUGAAUCUAAAGGGUAACUUUGAUAGAGUUAAUAAUAGAGGUUAAACUCCUCUCAUUUUCU